UACGUAGGUGGCUAGCGUUGUCCGGAUUUACUGGGCGUAAAGAGCGCGCAGGCGGUCGUUCAAGUCGAGUGUGAAAGCCCCCGGCUCAACUGGGGAGGGUCACUCGAUACUGAUCGACUUGAAGGCGGGAGAGGGAAGCGGAAUUCCCGGUGUAGUGGUGAAAUGCGUAGAUAUCGGGAGGAACACCGGUGGCGAAGGCGGCAUCCUGGACCGACACUGACGCUGAGGAGCGAAAGCCAGGGGAGCAAACGGG
rnacentral:rRNA from 1 species